CUAGAGAAAAGAAGAGAUUGUUAGGUACUCACACUUAUCGGUAAUUUAGAUGAAGAUGCGAAGAGCAAGAAGUACACAAAAUGGGUUUGUAGCUCAGGUGGUUAGAGCACACGCUUGAUAAGCGUGGGGUCGUAGGUUCAAGUCCUACCAGACCCACCAGGAUUAGAGAAGCGAAUUCAAGUUGUAAAGCUUACGAGAAGUAAGAAAUACUGGGGGCAUAGCUCAGUUGGUAGAGCACCUGCUUUGCAAGCAGGGGGUCAUCGGUUCGAUCCCGUUUGCCUCCACCAAGAUUAAAUAAAAUGAAAAAUUAGAUUGCAAAUUAAAGCAAGUUUAGAUAAACUGGCGAGCUUACUUUAAUUUGCGAUAUAUUUUUUAUAAGCGAAAGCUGAGAAGAAGUAUAAUUAAACGCAUCGAUCUUUAACAAAUUGGAAAGCCGAAAUCAACAAACAAAGACAAUGUUGUCGAUUUGGUUUGGGAUGCUGAUGCAACAGUAUUUCAGGCAGCCUGCAAAGGCAACAAAUCGAAUAACAAAAUUUGGGUGAUGAUUGUAUCAACUAAUCUUGAAUUCAAAAGGCAAGGUUAGUACACAACAAGCAGUAAGCUUUAUCAAAGUAGAGAAUCUAAGUUAUUUUAGUAGUCAACGCUAAAAUAGCAAAGUCAGAAGGUUCUUCAAAUGAUAGA
rnacentral:tRNA from 1 species